rnacentral:rRNA from 1 species
GAUGAACGCUGGCGGCGUGCCUAAUACAUGCAAGUCGAGCGAACGGACGAGAAGCUUGCUUUUCUGAUGUUAGCGGCGGACGGGUGAGUCACACGUGGAUAACCUACCUAUAAGACUGGGAUCACUUCGGGACACCGGCGCUAAUACCGGAUAAUAUUUUGAUCCGCAUGGUUCAUUAGUGAAAGACGGUCUUGCUGUCUCUUAUAGCUGGUUCCGCGCUGCAUUAGCUAGUUGGUAAGGUAAAGGCUUACCAAGGCGACGAUGCCUAGACGACCUGAGAGGGGGAUCGGCCACAUGAGAACUGAGACAGCGUCAAUAGUCCUACGGUAGGCAGCAGUAGGGAAUCGUCCGCAAUGGGCGAAAGCCUGGCGGAGCAACGGCGCGUGAGUGAUGAAGGUCUUCGGAUCGUAAAACUCUGUUAUGAGGGAAGAACAGAUGUGUAAGUAACUGUGCACAGCUUGACGGUACCUAAUCAGAAAGCCACGGCUAACUACGUG